rnacentral:hammerhead_ribozyme from 1 species
GUACUACUGAAGGGUGCAAACUAGGACGAAACAGCCGUCCAGUAC